CUUGCCAGGACCUGGCUUUGGGGAACAGCAGCGCCCUGGAGCCACCAGGCACGCAGACAUUAGGGAGCCGCAUCCCACACGAGACGGUGUGGGGAGAGCGGCAGGCGGUCCCAUCGCAGACCCAGAAGCUCCUGCCAGAGCUCCCUCAGGUUUUCCCAUCCGCAGCCCCAAUAAACGCUUGUUGGAGAGCUAACUUUCAGUUGAUGAGUAUUUACUGAACGCCUACUCUGUCCCAGGUGCUAUGCUAAGAUGACAGAGACCUGAGGAAAUUGCCUUUGGCAGCCCCAGACCCACAUAAAGCCAGGGUGCUAUGAUAGCACCCCCUCUCAGGAGGCCCAGAAAGAUGACUGAGACUAGGGUUAAAGAAAUAAGAGACUUGCAUAAUCACAUAUUUAGCAAACCUAUUGGAUGGCUGACACUAGCAACUGCAGAAUGUAUGGUGGAUGAUAUUGCAAAUUGUGAUAAAUUAUAUGGUAAUAUAUAAUGAGGGACCGGGCCAAGCCUGGAGUAUUAAUGCAUUAGCUUGAGUCAGAUCAGCCAUCAUUUUUGCAGGUCAAAUACAUUUGAAUAUCAACAAUGUUGUGAGAUUCAAGUUAAUAGACAUCUGUUGGUUUUGCUGUCCAGUCUUCAUUCCCCCUUCUUCUGGCAUAAGAACCUCCUUUCCCGGAUUCUUAGACCAUGUAACUUGGGUGGGGCUUUCUCCAUGAGCAACUGCAGGAGUGAGCACAUGACCCAGGCCUGGAUAAAGAGCUUCACCCCAUCCUCCAACCAACUAACCACAGUGAUUUCUUCAGGGAUGGGCACAGGACUCAACCUGGACCAAUAGGGGUGGCACCAGCAAAACCUAUGUGUUGGCAUUAUGAUCAAGCUAAAAGGAAGAUGGUAGCCUUUUCUACAGCAUGAGGAGAUCCUGGCUGAGAAUGAAGCCAACUUGGCCGGGGAGAACCAAGAGAUAGAGUGGACAAAAUCCUGAUAUCAUCAUGUAGCACCUAGAUACAGCUGUGACUGACGCCUCUCUCUCUCUCUUCUCCUGCCCCGCACCCUCACCCCCUUCCCAUAUAUUUCAACUGUUUAAAUCAAUUUCCAUAACUUGUAACUGAAAGAGCCCUGACUUAUACUUAGGGAAGUCUCUCUGGUGAAGUGAUCUUUGAGCUGAAGGGGCUGAUUUGGGGCCAGGAGUGAGGGUAGGGGAUGGUGAGGGGGAAGGAGAGUUCUGGGAAGGAAGUGAGAAAUUGGCUACCCCUGCGUGUCUGGGUCUAAGGUCUUCACCACAUGACUACACAAGUGCAAUAAACUUGCUCUGCCCCGUUGCGGUGUUGAAUAAACCAAACAAAACGAUCUGCCCUCUCGUGAAUGUCAGCUUUACUGGGAGCUGAGCUAAUGUAUUAUUGAUGAGGCAUAAAUAAUGGGACAAGCAUGAUUUCCUAUUCAGUCCAGAAGUACAAAGGUAUAACACUAACAUUUUAAUGAGGUUUCUAUGGCCCAGGCUCGCUGUUUACACUCUGGAAAUGUGGACUGGCUUUCUCAGGAAAGCAGGCUUUUCUUUACUUUUCUUAUUUCUCUCCUCCAUUUGUCAGCAUCCUUUUGAAUAUUUAUAUAAAUUAUUAUAAUUAACACAGAUCGAAUAAAAGAGAGCAAAUAAGAACCAUGCCUGAAAGGCACUGUUACUAGUCUUCCCAAGGCCUUAUCUUCACUGGAUGGAGCAAAGAAAGGUCAGGUGUACCCCCACCUCCCAGAGACUCCCCACAUUUCUGCCUGAUAAGGCCUUUGAAACAAAGACAAGAAUGUUGACAGCAGACAAAUCUAGUUUCAAUAGUCCUCACUCAAACUGGCUGAAACAGCAAUUAAGUUGUUUCUUGGCUCACAUAACGAGAGUGCAGACACAGAGCCUGUUUCAGGGUGGACUCAUGCAUGGACCAGCCUCUGUUUGCCUAUGGUUCUCUUGGCUCUGCCCUCCUUGGAGUUGGAUAACACCAGGAUGGUGGCCAGGUGGCUACAGCAGUUCUGCAGCUUCACAUCCACAAUUACCUCCAGAAGAACAGACUGUGGUAUUCUAUCAAAAAUGUUGACACUCGGUUGGGCGCAGUAUGGCUCACACCUGUAGUCUCAGCACUUUGGGAAGCCAAGGAGGGCUGAUCACCUGAGGUCAGGA
rnacentral:lncRNA from 1 species